CCUACGGGGGGCGCCAGUGGGGAAUAUUGGACAAUGGGCGAAAGCCUGAUCCAGCAAUGCCGCGUGUGAAGAAGGUCUUCGGGUUGUAAAGCACUUUCGACGGGGACGAUGAUGACGGUACCCGUAUAAGAAGCCCCGGCUAACUUCGUGCCAGCAGCCGCGGUAAUACGAAGGGGGCUAGCGUUGCUCGGAAUGACUGGGCGUAAAGGGCGCGUAGGCGGUUUAUGCAGUCAGAUGUGAAAUCCCCGGGCUUAACCUGGGAACUGCAUUUGAGACGCAUAGACUAGAGGUCGAGAGAGGGUUGUGGAAUUCCCAGUGUAGAGGUGAAAUUCGUAGAUAUUGGGAAGAACACCGGAGGCGAAGGCGGCAACCUGGCUCGAUACUGACGCUGAGGCGCGAAAGCGUGGGAAGCAGACAGGAUUAGAUACCCGUGUAGUC
rnacentral:rRNA from 1 species